rnacentral:rRNA from 1 species
AGGGUUUGAUCCUGGCUCAGAACGUACGCUGGCGGCACGCCUAACACAUGCAAGUCGAACGAAGUAGCAAUACUUAGUGGCAGACGGGUGAGUAACAUGUAGGUAUCUGCCCUUUGGCCUGGAAUAACACGAGGAAACUUGUGCUAAUACCGGAUAAGUCUUUACGGAGAAAGCUUUAUGCACCAUUGGAUGAGCCUGCACUUGAUUAGUUUGUUGGUGGGGUAAUGGCCUACCAAGACUGUGAUCAAUAGCUGAUUUGAGAGGAUGAUCAGCCACAUUGGGACUGAGACACGGCCCAAACUCCUACGGGAGGCAGCAGUGGGGAAUCUUGCACAAUGGAGGAAACUCUGAUGCAGCGAUGCCGCGUGAGUGAAGAAGGCCCUUGGGUUGUAAAGCUCUUUCGUCGGGGAAGAAAAUGACUGUACCCGAAUAAGAAGGUCCGGCUAACUUCGUGCCAGCAGCCGCGGUAAUACGAAGGGACCUAGCGUAGUUCGGAAUUACUGGGCUUAAAGAGUUCGUAGGUGGUUGAAAAAGUUGGUGGUGAAAUCCCAGAGCUUAACUCUGGAACUGCCAUCAAAACUUUUCAGCUAGAGUUUGAUAGAGGAAAGCAGAAUUUCUAGUGUAGAGGUGAAAUUCGUAGAUAUUAGAAAGAAUACCAAUUGCGAAGGCAGCUUUCUGGAUCAUUACUGACACUGAGGAACGAAAGCAUGGGUAGCGAAGAGGAUUAGAUACCCUCGUAGUCCAUGCCGUAAACGAUGUGUGUUAGACGUUGGAAAUUUAUUUUCAGUGUCGCAGCGAAAGCGAUAAACACACCGCCUGGGGAGUACGACCGCAAGGUUAAAACUCAAAUGAAUUGACGGGGACCCGCACAAGUAGUGGAGCAUGUGGUUUAAUUCGAAGAUACGCGCAGAACCUUACCAACACUUGACAUGUUCGUCGCGACUCUAAGAGAUUAGAGUUUUCGGUUCGGCCGGACGAAACACAGGUGCUGCAUGGCUGUCGUCAGCUCGUGUCGUGAGAUGUUGGGUUAAGUCCCGCAACGAGCGCAACCCUCACUUUUAGUUGCCAUCAUUAAGUUGGGCACUCUGAAAGAACUGCCAGUGAUAAGCUGGAGGAAGGUGGGGAUGACGUCAAGUCCUCAUGGCCCUUAUGGCCAGGGCUUCACACGUAAUACAAUGGACGGUACAGAGGGACGCCAACCCGCGAGGGGGAGCCAAUCCCAGAAAGCCGUUCGUAGUCCGGAUUGUUGUCUGCAACUCGACAACAUGAAGUCGGAAUCGCUAGUAAUCGCGGAUCAGAAUGUCGCGGUGAAUACGUUCCCGGGCCUUGUACACACCGCCCGUCACACCAUGGGAGUGGGUUUUACCAGAAG